CUGGGUAUUGGAAAGAAAGAAUUUAAACGCAGGUUUCACUGCCUGCAAAGCCAAUGCUGUUAAAAUCAUCUCUGCUGCUGCUGCUGCUAAGUCGCUUCAGUCGUGUCCGACUCAUAACCCUCAAAGAAGCUUAGUGGCUCUGAGGUGGAUUCUUGCCCGGGUUCUUGCAAGUUAUGCCCUGGGUUCAAUUUCUGCGCACAAAGCCUCACUCUUCCGGUCCCUUCUCUAGCUCCAAGCGCACAGCGUCCCGUCUUCAUGGAAACCGGCGCGAGGCGGGAUUUCCUCUUGCACGCACGCGCACUUCCGCCUAGAGCCGGAAGCACCGUGUCUAACAGCGGGUACCAGCGCGUGGGUACUUCUUGGAGAGUUUCAGUGGCAGGCCCGCGGCGGCUGCGAGAGUGGUCGACUUGGGCGCCCGAGUUCGGCGUGGUGAUGCUGACUCCAGCGUUCGAUCUUAGCCAGGACCCCGACUUCCUGACUGUUGCCAUCCGCGUGCCUUACGCCCGAGUCUCUGAGUUCGAUGUCUAUUUCGAGGGAGUCAAUUUCAAAUUCUACGCCAAGCCGUACUUUCUCAGGUUAACCCUUCCUGGAAGAAUUGUAGAAAAUGGAAAUGAGCAGGGAUCCUAUGAUGCAGAUAAAGGAAUUUUUACCAUUCGGUUGCCCAAAGAAACUCCUGGCCAACAUUUUGAAGGGCUGAACAUGUUAACUGCUCUGCUGGCACCAAGAAAAUCCAGGACUGCAAAACCACUUGUGGAAGAGAUAGGUGCUUCUGAGGUUUCUGAGGGAGGAGUGGAAGAUGACGAUGAUGAGUUUGAUGGGAAAUUGAACAGUCCCCCUAUGAAGAGGUACCAGAAAGGGCCUUGAACCCAAACUGCCGCUACGGGUUUGGAAACUUGCGCUCAGGAGUGUUUCAGCGGUUGCAGGUAUGAUUUUCUAAAAGACCUUGGUAUAUACCAAGGGUUUGACCAUUUGCAUAGUUUAAUUUCAGUUCUGCUCAUACCUGGAGGUUUUCUAUGAAGAUAGUAGGAGAUGUUGUAUUUAGAGCGCAAACCAUAACUGCUCGCACGUGAUCGUUACACAGUCACUCCCUUCUGUGUCACUGUCUGUGUAGCCCGGUCUCAUUGUGCUUACACAUGAAAGAUGUCCUGGUACUUUCUUUUUCUCCACUUCAGUUGUUAUUUUAGACAUGAAGUUUCCAAAAUACAGAACAGAACCCCUCUCUCCUCAUACUUCCUGAAAAGCUUUAUGUUUUAUACUUCUAAAAAUGAAAAUUCUUUAUUUGUGGCAUGAUGUCUCUUCUGUUUUAUAUGUAAAUGAAGCAGAAUAUUCCUGAUGAGAAGGGUUUCCGUCUUUUGAUCAAAUUAUUUAGUGUUUAGUGUACUGUAGACACUUUUCUGUAUUUACUCUUUGUGGGGUUUGAAUGGAAUCUUUUGUUAAAAUCUGCUCUUUGGUCAGUUAGGCUAAAAAAGGAAUGACAUCACUCUCUUCCUCAGACAAUGUGGAAAUUCUAUUUCAUGAAUAAAAUGGAGAUUUUGGGUUAUUUUCUACUUUAG
ensembl:lncRNA protein SHQ1 homolog